GCCGCCAGGAGCGACUGGAAGCCCUUGGACUGCAGGCGGCAGUGCCCACCUGCGACGCCCCCUCAGCGCCCCCUGCUGGCUGGUAAAGGAGCAGGUGAGG